UACGUAGGGACCAAGCGUUGUCCGGAAUCAUUGGGCGUAAAGAGCGUGUAGGCGGCCAGGUAGGUCUGCUGUGAAAACUCGAGGCUCAACCUCGAGACGUCGGCGGAAACCAUCUGGCUAGAGUCCGGAAGAGGAGAGUGGAAUUCCUGGUGUAGCGGUGAAAUGCGCAGAUAUCAGGAAGAACACCCGUGGCGAAGGCGGCUCUCUGGGACGGUACUGACGCUGAGACGCGAAAGCGUGGGGAGCGAACAGG
rnacentral:rRNA from 1 species